rnacentral:rRNA from 1 species
GUGUCAGCAGCCGCGGUAAAACGUAGGACACGAGCGUUAUCCGGAGUUACUGGGCGUAAAGGGCGUUUAGGCGGGUGACUAAGUUCGCUAUGAAAGCGCCGGGCUAAACCCGGCGAGGCUGGCGGAUACUGGUGAUCUGGAGUGAGGUAGAGGGAAGUAGAAUUCCGCGUGUAGUGGUGAAAUGCGUAGAGAUGCGGAGGAAUACCAGUGGCGAAGGCGACUUCCUGGACCUUAACUGACGCUGAAGCGCGAAAGCAUGGGGAGCGAACGGGAUUAGAUACCCGCGUAGUCC